rnacentral:rRNA from 1 species
UACGUAGGUGGCAAGCGUUGUCCGGAUUUAUUGGGUUUAAAGGGUGCGUAGGCGGCUUUGUAAGUCAGUGGUGAAAUCCUGGAGCUCAACUCCAGAACUGCCUUUGAUACUGAAGAUCUUGAGUUCGGGAGAGGUGAGUGGAACUGCGAGUGUAGAGGUGAAAUUCGUAGAUAUCGGGAGGAACACCGGUGGCGAAGGCGGCCAUCUGGCUGGUAACUGACGCUGAGACGCGAAAGCGUGGGUAGCAAACAGG